CAUGAUGAUGACGAUUUACAUUACCCUAUACUAGUUAUAGCUACAUUUUCUUCUCUACUGAAGAUUACUACAAGGUCUUACUCCAGGGUGGGAAAAUGCCUACGAGAAACCAAACAGAUGAAGACAGAGUUGUUGAUUUCCUUCGUUACUUGUAAUGUUAUAAGGGAAGAAAAAUAAUCAGUUUUUUCUGAAUUAGCUUUCAAGCUACUACAUACCACCAGUAGAAUAGUUAUUUUUAUGUUAUCUAGUAGGCCUUUAUCUUUGUUUAAUCUAAUUAUUAAAUCUAACACAAAUCCUUCUAAUUUUAUAAGAAAUGUAAGGUCUUUUUACAUGUUGCAAUAAAGUAUACCCUUGGGGUACCUGUACCACUAAAGGAGAAGCUCAUCUUUUAAUUGUAGGUAUUUUCACUUGGGAAAGGGGGUACUUAGUCAGUUGCUCAACCGAAAUGUGUCUUCCGUAUCAGAGAGGUGCGGGGGGCUCCCUUAAUCGAUGUCCACAGCACCCACGGAGCAGUUGGGGGUUAACUGUCUUGCUCAAGGGCAGAACAGCAGAUUUGUUCACCUUUCCGGCUUGGGAAUUUGAACCAGCGGCCUUUUGGUUGCUGGCCCAAUGCUCUUAACCGCUAGGCUAUCUACCGCCUUACUUACUAAUGUAGAAAUUGCUCAUAGGUAACUGUAAAGUUAUACAUAACUUUAAAUAGCAAAUCCUGUGUUACAACCUUGUACUUAUGCCGAAAUUACAGAUAUGUACUCUGGUGUAAUAGUGUGAUUAUUUUCUCACUUGGAUGGAUGGCGCUGUCAGAAGCUGAUGAUUUAGAUUGUCAGGAUGGUAGGUACACAAUAAUUACAAGUAAGUAUCCCUCAAGAUACAAUUCAUUUUAACUAGCUAAGUCCUGUGUAACACCUAGUAAUUACAAUGUAUGUAUGCAGAUAUGACAUGUACUAGUGUGUUUAUUUUCUCAAUAGGAUGGUGCCUUCAGAAGCUUUGCAAUUUGGGUCAGGUUAUCAGGAUGUGUAAUGUGCUAUAUAAGUGCACAUUGAUUACAAAUUGUGUUAAAGGACUCACUCCCUGCCAUCCUGGCCCACAGCCACUGCUCCUGUGUUGCUGGGACUACUUUGUGCAACCACACAGUUGCACUGCUCUACUAGUCAACACAUUACUCUCAAUUUGGGAUUGGUGCAUUCCCCCAUCCAUAGUUGCACCGAGAGUGAGCAGAGGUGGCAAAAGCCAAAAACAAUGGUAAGGCUGUGUGGAUGGUUAUUGAAGGCUAAUAUGAAUAAUAUAAAUUGGUGAUGUGAUUGUGAUGAUCUAAGUGCCCCUUUGUAUUCCAAGGGUGUGAAGCCAGGCACUGUUAGCAGGAUGGUGUUCCUAUCAGCAAGACCCAAAGAGAGAAUAAUGGUUGAAGGAGUGAGGAGUACCUUCUAUAGAGGUGUAACCUGGGAGCUGCCUGACCUCUGUCCUCCAUGUGGAAGAGGUGUACAGGGACUUUACCAAUGCUACAGCCCCUUUGGUCAUUCCAUUGGACAUAUCCACUGAGGUCCAGUUAGUGGAUUCUGCCAUUGGUGAAGUCCGGGCUGGCUGCUGCUACAACAACUCGCAACAUCACUUCGCAUGAAGACAGAAUCCUCAGGGGAACUCGUCAGUCUGCAGAGAUGAAGAGAGGUCUGGAGAUGAAUUCUGCUGCUGUGGAGGAAUACUAUGUUCUCCAGAAUGUCAACUGUUACCCCCAUGGGCAUCAACAGAGACUGCCAAAUUUGGGAAGCAAUCAACAAGAAGGCUGACCAUUUAUUUGUUUACUCUUACUUGCAGAGAUGCCUAAUGAUCUCCUAUGUCAAAUGUUAAAAGAUUAAAAACAUUUUUGUACUGUGAA